rnacentral:lncRNA from 10 species
UGUAUAUAUAUACAUAUAUAUUUAUACAUGUAUAUAUAUACAUAUAUAUUUAUACAUGUAUAUAUAUUUUAUUUCUCUGCCAUUUAUUUAUUUAUUAAUCUUUUACCUGUGCUGUUGCUCUAGCUGUCUUGUACUUCCAACCUCUUUUCUCUCUGAUUUACCUUCCAUGUUGCUAUUGAAACGAUAUACAGUGGAUUAAUUCAUGUGAUUCUUAUGCUUAAAAUACUUUCCUGCCUUCAACAUGUCUACAGGAUUCCAGCUUUGACUGUUGAGAGCUCUUUCAGUUGACACCUUUGUCCCUUUGACAUACUCUCAUCAAUGUGUGAUUUUUUGUACUGUUUUUGAGCACUUUCUUACUUUCUGGCUCUCUAAAAUGCUCCAGUCCU